GGGGGUUUAGUAUAAUGGCAUUACUGCAGUCUCCAAAACUGCUUAUAAGGGUUCGAUUCCUUUAACCCCUG
rfam:Mycoplasma gallinarum strain Mgn_IPT Contig31, whole genome shotgun sequence.